rnacentral:rRNA from 1 species
GACGAACGCUGGCGGCGUGCUUAACACAUGCAAGUCGAACGAAGAGCGAUGGAAGCUUGCUUCUAUCAAUCUUAGUGGCGAACGGGUGAGUAACGCGUAAUCAACCUGCCCUUCAGAGGGGGACAACAGUCGGAAACGACUGCUAAUACCGCAUACGAUCUAAUCUCGGCAUCGAGGAAAGAUGAAAGGUGGCCUCUAUUUAUAAGCUAUCACUGAAGGAGGGGAUUGCGCCUGAUUAGCUAGUUGGAGGGGUAACGGCCCACCAAGGCGAGGAUCAGUAGCCGGUCUGAGAGGAUGAGCGGCAAAAUUGGGACUGAGACACGGCCCAGAAUCCUACGGGAGGCAGCCGGGGGGAAUCUUCCGCAAUGGACGAAAGUCGGACGGAGCAACGCCGCGUGAGUGAUGACGGCAUUCGGGUUGUAAAGCUCUGUUAAUCGGGACGAAAGGCCUGCUUGCGAACAGGUAGAAGGAUUGACGGUACCGGAAGAGAAAGCCACGGCUAACUACGUG